rnacentral:rRNA from 1 species
ACGAACGCUGGCGGCGUGCUUCACACAUGCAAGUCGAACGGUGAAGCGCCUUCCUUUUUGGUGGGUGUGGAUGAGUGGCGAACGGGUGAGUAACACGUGAGUAACCUGCCCCCUUCUUCUGGAUAACCGCAUGAAAGUGUGGCUAAUACGGGAUAUUCUGGGUCUGUCGCAUGAUGGGUCUGGGAAAGAUAUUGUUUCGGUGGGGGAUGGGCUCGCGGCCUAUCAGCUUGUUGGUGGGGUGAUGGCCUACCAAGGCGGUGACGGGUAGCCGGCCUGAGAGGGUGGACGGUCACACUGGGACUGAGACACGGCCCAGACUCCUACGGGAGGCAGCAGUGGGGAAUAUUGCACAAUGGGCGCAAGCCUGAUGCAGCGACGCCGCGUGAGGGAUGGAGGCCUUCGGGUUGUGAACCUCUUUCGCCAGUGAAGCAGGACUGCCUCGUUUGUGGGUGGGUUGACGGUAGCUGGAUAAGAAGCGCCGGCUAACUACGUG